AGGCGAUUGGGUUAGGGUUUGAUAUAGUGGAUGAUUUGAGGUUGAAGUUUUGUAAGGAUUAUCAGUUGAUCUCUGUUGACCAUGAUCAGGUGCGACCCCCGGCACAAGAUAUUUCAUAAAAGAAUGCCCCCUGAAGCAGUUGAUUUGGUGUCGAGGCUUCUCCAAUAUUCUCCAACUCUACGCUGCACUGCUUUGGAAGCAUGUGCACACCCUUUCUUUGAUUCUUUAAGGGAACCAAAUGCUUGCUUGCCAAAUGGGCGACCUCUGCCUCCCCUAUUCAACUUUUCACCUCAAGAGCUCUCUGGCGUGCCUGCUGAACUGCGAAAGCGCCUUAUUCCUGAACACUUGCGCAAGUGAAUUUUGUGAAGACAGUUGCUUAGGCUUUGUAAAUGGGUUUUUCUUGAGAGGUGUAGUUGCCCAAUCAGCGUUAUGUUGCUCCAGCAAAUGCAGCUGCUUUCUUGGCCUUAGUAAUAUUUGAUGGAAUACAACAUCAUAACAUGGGAGCUAGUUACUUGCUAGUUGGUUUCGGAUGACGGAUAUGACAGUAAGAUUUGCGGGUGAUUUAUCGCAGUGUCUCUCGUCUUUAUAAACAUAUUAUGUUCAGUACCCCAGUAGUUUUAGAUGAGAGUUUUCAUCUGUUAAUUUAUACCUUUUAGCAAGCAAUAUCUAGUUUGAGGGGUAUUCAUAAGAUUAAUGAGUGCUCCCAAACUUGGAGUUAUAGAUGAAUGAUUAGGAGUUUUAUAUUCGUUAAAGUAUAACAUUUCAUGUCUUCUGGUUGCCCUAUAGAAAUGUGAAAU
rnacentral:misc_RNA from 1 species